GAUGAACGCUGGCGGCGUGCUUAACACAUGCAAGUCGAACGGGAAUUAUUUUAUUGAAACUUCGGUCGAUUUAAUUUAAUUCUAGUGGCGGACGGGUGAGUAACGCGUGGGUAACCUGCCUUAUACAGGGGGAUAACAGUCAGAAAUGGCUGCUAAUACCGCAUAAGCGCACAGAGCUGCAUGGCUCAGUGUGAAAAACUCCGGUGGUAUAAGAUGGACCCGCGUUGGAUUAGCUGGUUGGUGGGGUAACGGCCCACCAAGGCGACGAUCCAUAGCCGGCCUGAGAGGGUGAACGGCCACAUUGGGACUGAGACACGGCCCAGACUCCUACGGGAGGCAGCAGUGGGGAAUAUUGCACAAUGGGGGAAACCCUGAUGCAGCGACGCCGCGUGAAGGAAGAAGUAUCUCGGUAUGUAAACUUCUAUCAGCAGGGAAGAUAGUGACGGUACCUGACCAAGAAGCCCCGGCUAACUACGUG
rnacentral:rRNA from 1 species